UACGGAGGGUGCAGGCGUUAUCCGGAUUCACUGGGUUUAAAGGGUGCGUAGGUGGGUUGAUAAGUCAGUGGUGAAAUCCCCGAGCUUAACUUGGGAACUGCCAUUGAUACUAUUGAUCUUGAAUACCGUGGAGGUCAGCGGAAUAUGUCAUGUAGCGGUGAAAAUGCUUAGAUAUGACAUAGAACACCAAUUGCGAAGGCAGCUGGCUACGCGAAUAUUGACACUGAUGCACGAAAGCGUGGGGAUCAAAACAGG
rnacentral:rRNA from 1 species